AUUGGCUUAAAUAUAUGAAACUCUUUCACGUGACCAAGUUAAUAACGUGCAUUAUCAAGGCUUCUCGGUGAAUAUAAAUUCACCUACAUCUCAGUGACUUCGGCAAAAUCUGCAGACUACCGAACUUCUGCACGAGCUGACUCCAAACUCCUGAAAAAUGAAAGGUCUUGCUGCUGUAUUGUUUCUGGCUGUGAUUAUCUCUAGUUCUGGCCAUCCUGAGGAGAAGAUGUUCGAGUUGUUAUGUGAGAGUAAAGAAGAUAUAGCCAUCAAAGACAUCAAACACUGUAUGGACCUGGAACCCCCAGAA